GAUGAACGCUGGCGAUAGGCUUAACACAUGCAAGUCGAGCGGCAGCACGGUCUUAGCUUGCUAUGGCUGAUGGCGACCGGCGCACGGGUGCGUAACGCGUAUGCAACUUGCCUCACAGAGGGGGUUAACCCGUCGAAACUCGGACUAAUACCGCGUACACUCUAUGUUGGGCAUCCAAUGUAGAGGCAAUGAAAUUCGCUGUGAGAUAGGCAUGCGUCCUAUUUGCUAGUUGGUGAGGUAACGGCUCACCAAGGCGACGAUGGGUAGGGGAACGGAGAGGUUGAACCCCGAGACGGGGACUGAGACACGGACCAGACUGCUACGGGAGGGAGCAGUAAGGAAGACAGGUGAAGGGGGGAGAGCCUGAACCAGCCAAGUCGGGUGAAGGAUGACUGUGUUAGGGAUGGUAAACUUCUGUUAUACAAGAAUAACAAGAGUAACGGGUGGCUGCCUGAAGGUACCGUAUGAAUAAGCAUCGGCUAACUCCGUG
rnacentral:rRNA from 1 species